rnacentral:RNase_P_RNA from 1 species
GCAGAGAGUCGGGUGGCCGCUUCGGAUCACGUCCGGAGAGGAAAGUCCGGGCUCCACAGGGCACGAUGCCGGAUAACGUCCGGGCGGGGCGACCCGACGGAAAGUGGCACAGAAAACACACAGCCGCCACUCAGUCGGAAGGCUGACUGGCGGUAACGGUGAAAAGGCGCGGUAAGAGCGCACCGGCGACCGGGAGACCGGUCGGCCUGUCAAACCCCAUCGGGAGCAAGGCUCGAUAUGGAGGGGAUGAUGCGGCCCGCGGACCCUCCGGGUGGAGCCGCUAGAGGUUCCGAGCAAUCGGGAUCCCAGAGAGAUGGCCACACAAACACAGAACCCGGCUUACAGACUUUCUGCCCCC